rnacentral:rRNA from 1 species
GGAUGCGAUCAUACCAGCACUAUAGCACUGGAUCUCAUCAGAACUCCGAAGUUAAGCUUGCUUUGGCGAGAGUAGUAUUCGGAUGGGUGACCUCCUGGGAAGUCCUCGUGUUGCAUUCC